rnacentral:rRNA from 2 species
GGAUGAACGCCGGCGGUGUGCCUAAUACAUGCAAGUCGAACGCGUUGGCCCAAUUGAUUGAUGGUGCUUGCACCUGAUUGAUUUUGGUCGCCAACGAGUGGCGGACGGGUGAGUAACACGUAGGUAACCUGCCCAGAAGCGGGGGACAACAUUUGGAAACAGAUGCUAAUACCGCAUAACAGCGUUGUUCGCAUGAACAACGCUUAAAAGAUGGCUUCUCGCUAUCACUUCUGGAUGGACCUGCGGUGCAUUAGCUUGUUGGUGGGGUAACGGCCUACCAAGGCGAUGAUGCAUAGCCGAGUUGAGAGACUGAUCGGCCACAAUGGGACUGAGACACGGCCCAUACUCCUACGGGAGGCAGCAGUAGGGAAUCUUCCACAAUGGGCGCAAGCCUGAUGGAGCAACACCGCGUGAGUGAAGAAGGGUUUCGGCUCGUAAAGCUCUGUUGUUAAAGAAGAACACGUAUGAGAGUAACUGUUCAUACGUUGACGGUAUUUAACCAGAAAGUCACGGCUAACUACGUGCCAGCAGCCGCGGUAAUACGUAGGUGGCAAGCGUUAUCCGGAUUUAUUGGGCGUAAAGAGAGUGCAGGCGGUUUUCUAAGUCUGAUGUGAAAGCCUUCGGCUUAACCGGAGAAGUGCAUCGGAAACUGGAUAACUUGAGUGCAGAAGAGGGUAGUGGAACUCCAUGUGUAGCGGUGGAAUGCGUAGAUAUAUGGAAGAACACCAGUGGCGAAGGCGGCUACCUGGUCUGCAACUGACGCUGAGACUCGAAAGCAUGGGUAGCGAACAGGAUUAGAUACCCUGGUAGUCCAUGCCGUAAACGAUGAGUGCUAGGUGUUGGAGGGUUUCCGCCCUUCAGUGCCGGAGCUAACGCAUUAAGCACUCCGCCUGGGGAGUACGACCGCAAGGUUGAAACUCAAAGGAAUUGACGGGGGCCCGCACAAGCGGUGGAGCAUGUGGUUUAAUUCGAAGCUACGCGAAGAACCUUACCAGGUCUUGACAUCUUGCGCCAACCCUAGAGAUAGGGCGUUUCCUUCGGGAACGCAAUGACAGGUGGUGCAUGGUCGUCGUCAGCUCGUGUCGUGAGAUGUUGGGUUAAGUCCCGCAACGAGCGCAACCCUUGUUACUAGUUGCCAGCAUUAAGUUGGGCACUCUAGUGAGACUGCCGGUGACAAACCGGAGGAAGGUGGGGACGACGUCAGAUCAUCAUGCCCCUUAUGACCUGGGCUACACACGUGCUACAAUGGACGGUACAACGAGUCGCGAACUCGCGAGGGCAAGCAAAUCUCUUAAAACCGUUCUCAGUUCGGACUGCAGGCUGCAACUCGCCUGCACGAAGUCGGAAUCGCUAGUAAUCGCGGAUCAGCAUGCCGCGGUGAAUACGUUCCCGGGCCUUGUACACACCGCCCGUCACACCAUGAGAGUUUGUAACACCCAAAGUCGGUGGGGUAACCUUUUAGGAGCCAGCCGCCUAAGGUGGGACAGAUGAUUAGGGUGAAGU